UCCAAGUCAACUCCAUAUUUGUUUCCAUCCUAAAUUUUUCUAACAAUUUUAAGGUGUUUAUCCUGAUGGAGACAAAUAUGAAUUCCAAUGUUAGGGUUGCUAAGGAUGUCAAAAUUCAAUUAGAUCAUUUUAAUGGUACGAAUUACUCAAGGUGGAUGGACAAGAUGAUGUUCUUGCUUACUUCAUUCUUGACCCGAAUCUGUCUGCACUACCUAAACCACAAGAAGAUG
rnacentral:lncRNA from 1 species